AUGAACGCUGGCGGCGUGCCUAAUCCAUGCAAGUCGCGCGAACAGACGAGGAGCUUGCUCCUCUGACGUUAGCGGCGGACGGGUGAGUAACACGUAGAUAACCUACCUAUAAGACUGGGAUAACUUCGGGAAACCGGAGCUAAUACCGGAUAAUAUAUUGAACCGCAUGGUUCAAUAGUGAAAGACGGUUUUGCUGUCACUUAUAGAUGGAUCCGCGCCGCAUUAGCUAGUUGGUAAGGUAACGGCUUACCAAGGCAACGAUGCGUAGCCGACCUGAGAGGGUGAUCGGCCACACUGGAACUGAGACACGGUCCAGACUCCUACGGGAGGCAGCAGUAGGGAAUCUUCCGCAAUGGGCGAAAGCUUGACGGAGCAACGCCGCGUGAGUGAUGAAGGUCUUCGGAUCGUAAAACUCUGUUAUUAGGGAAGAACAAAUGUGUAAGUAACUAUGCACGUCUUGACGGUACCUAAUCAGAAAGCCACGGCUAACUACGUG
rnacentral:rRNA from 1 species